GAACGCUGGCGGCGUGCUUAACACAUGCAAGUCGAACGUGAUUUUUAAGGAAGGCCCUUCGGGGUGGGAAUUAAAAUGAAAGUGGCGAACGGGUGAGUAACACGUGAGCAACCUACCUUACACAGGGGGAUAGCCGUUGGAAACGACGAUUAAUACCACAUGAGACCACAGAAUCGGCAUGAUAUAGGGGUCAAAGAUUUAUCGGUGUAAGAAGGGCUCGCGUCUUGAUUAGCUAGUUGGAAGGGUAAAGGCCUACCAAGGCGACGAUCAGUAGCCGGUCUGAGAGGAUGAACGGGCCCACAUUGGAACUGAGACACCGGGUCCAAA
rnacentral:rRNA from 1 species